CCUAGUGGCGGACGGGUGAGUAACGCGUGAGUAACCUGCCUUUCAGAGGGGAAUAACGUUCUGAAAAGAACGCUAAUACCGCAUAACGUACAGUUACCGCAUGGUAGCAGUACCAAAGGAGCAAUCCGCUGAGAGAUGGACUCGCGUCCGAUUAGCUAGUUGGUGGGGUAAAGGCCUACCAAGGCGACGAUCGGUAGCCGGACUGAGAGGUUGAACGGCCACAUUGGGACUGAGACACGGCCCAGACUCCUACGGAGGCAGCAUG
rnacentral:rRNA from 1 species